CUGCAGAUGUAACAAGGCGAGCAGCCCGCUUUUCUCCUGCCCGGUCACGUGUUUUGACGGGAAGGAUGACAUUCCUCAUGAUUUACAAGCUUGGAAAGACAUCACAUCAGGAGAUUUCACCAUAAAGAUGUUCCACGGAUCUCAUUUCUACCUGAAGGACUCUGGAAACGAAAAAAUAAUUUUGGAUUACGUCACAAAACAUUUGGAAACCUCAGAAAUGGACUAUUUAUAAACAAAACGACUUUUGUCAAUUUUCUACUAAUUUAUGGUGAUAUUUAAUUGUGUUACCAGUGUAGCUUGUUAUGUUUUGACUGCCCCAGUCCCACGAGUACAGUGAAUUCAGUAACUAAGCUAAAAGUAUUGAGACUUAAAAUAAUAUCCUAUUCCUGUUACUGACUUAUUUUAAUUAUCUAGAGUUUGUGAUUUAGAAAGAUUUGAUUAAAUAUCUCUGGAUGCAUCUUUUUCUGCUUUAA